GCUAGUAGCGGGAUAAUUCCGGGAAGCUGUCUAUUCCGCAUUCGCUUACGAGUAGCAGGGAUGCAGACUUGCAUAUUAGAGCGGCGAAUCGAUAGCUAGUUGUUGGGUUACGUCACCAGCGACGAUCGUAGCUGUUGAGAGGACGAUCAGCACACUGGGACUGAGACACGGCCAGACUUCUACGGAAGCAGCAGUGGGGAAUUUUGGACAAUUGGGGGAAACCUGAUCCAGCCACCCCCGCGUGUGCGAUGAAGCCUUCGGGUUGUAAAGCACUUUUGGCAGGAAAGAAACGUCAUGGGUUAUACCCUGUGAAACUGACGGUACCUGCAGAAUAAGCACCGGCUAACUACGUGCCAGCAGCCGCGGUAAUACGUAGGGUGCAAGCGUUAAUCUGAAUUACUGGGCGUAAAGCGUGCGCAGGCGGUUCGGAAAGAAAGAUGUGAAAUCCCAGAGCUCAACUUUGGAACUGCAUUUUUAACUACCGGGCUAGAGUGUGUCAGAGGGAGGUGGAAUUCCGCGUGUAGCAGUGAAAUGCGUAGAUAUGCGGAGGAACACCGAUGGCGAAGGCAGCCUCCUGGGAUAACACUGACGCUCAUGCACGAAAGCGUGGGGAGCAAACAGGAUUAGAUACCCUGGUAGUCCACGCCCUAAACGAUGUCAACUAGCUGUUGGGGCCUUCGGGCCUUAGUAGCGCAGCUAACGCGUGAAGUUGACCGCCUGGGGAGUACAGUCGCAAGAUUAAAACUCAAAGGAAUUGACGGGGACCCGCACAAGCGGUGGAUGAUGUGGAUUAAUUCGAUGCAACGCGAAAAACCUUACCUACCCUUGACAUGUCUGGAAUUCCGAAGAGAUUUGGAAGUGCUCGCAAGAGAACCGGAACACAGGUGCUGCAUGGCUGUCGUCAGCUCGUGUCGUGAGAUGUUGGGUUAAGUCCCGCAACGAGCGCAACCCUUGUCAUUAGUUGCUACGAAAGGGCACUCUAAUGAGACUGCCGGUGACAAACCGGAGGAAGGUGGGGAUGACGUCAAGUCCUCAUGGCCCUUAUGGGUAGGGCUUCACACGUCAUACAAUGGUCGGGACAGAGGGUCGCCAACCCGCGAGGGGGAGCCAAUCCCAGAAACCCGAUCGUAGUCCGGAUCGCAGUCUGCAACUCGACUGCGUGAAGUCGGAAUCGCUAGUAAUCGCGGAUCAGCAUUCGAAGAUCCCCCU
rnacentral:rRNA from 1 species